rnacentral:rRNA from 1 species
UACCAGACUCCUACGGGAGGCAGCAGUGAGGAAUAUUGGUCAAUGGGCGCGAGCCUGAACCAGCCAAGUCGCGUGAGGGAUGACGGCCCUACGGGUUGUAAACCUCUUUUGUCGGGGAGCAAAUUCCGUUACGUGUAACGGAGUCGAGAGUACCCGAAGAAAAAGCAUCGGCUAACUCCGCGCCAGCAGCCGCGGUAAUACGGAGGAUGCGAGCGUUAUCCGGAUUUAUUGGGUUUAAAGGGUGCGUAGGGGGACGCUUAAGUCAGCGGUAAAAUUGCGGGGCUCAACCUCGGCGAGCCGUUGAAACUGGCUUGCUAGAGUGGGCGAGAAGUAUGCGGAAUGCGUGGUGUAGCGGUAAAAUGCAUAGAUAUCACGCAGAACUCCGAUUGCGAAGGCAGCAUACCGGCGCCCAACUGACGCGCAGGCACGAAAGCGUGGGUAUCGAACAGGAGUAGAUACCCCAGUAUG